GAUGAACGCUGGCGGCGUGCUUAACACAUGCAAGUCGAACGGAAAGGCUCCUGCUUGCAGGGGUACUCGAGUGGCGAACGGGUGAGUAACACGUGGGUGAUCUGCCCUGCACUUCGGGAUAAGCCUGGGAAACUGGGUCUAAUACCGGAUAGGACGAUGGUUUGGAUGCCAUUGUGGAAAGUUUUUUCGGUGUGGGAUGAGCUCGCGGCCUAUCAGCUUGUUGGUGGGGUAAUGGCCUACCAAGGCGUCGACGGGUAGCCGGCCUGAGAGGGUGUACGGCCACAUUGGGACUGAGAUACGGCCCAGACUCCUACGGGAGGUAGCAGUGGGGAAUAUUGCACAAUGGGCGCAAGCCUGAUGCAGCGACGCCGCGUGGGGGAUGACGGCCUUCGGGUUGUAAACUCCUUUCGCUAGGGACGAAGCGCAAGUGACGGUACCUGGAGAAGAAGCACCGGCUAACUACGUG
rnacentral:rRNA from 1 species